rnacentral:rRNA from 1 species
GAAUGGCGUAACGACUUCCCCACUGUCUCCAGCAUAGGCUCAGCGAAAUUGAAUUCCCCGUGAAGAUGCGGGGUUCCCGCGGUCAGACGGAAAGACCCUAUGAACCUUUACUGCAGCUUCGCCUUGGCGUUAGCAUCAACAUGUGUAGGAUAGGUGGGAGGCUAUGAAACCGGGGCGCCAGCUCUGGUGGAGCCAUCCUUGAAAUACCACCCUUGUUGUUGUUGACGUCUAACCGCAGCCCGUUAUCCGGGUU